GGCUUCCUCAACCUUGGCCCUCCAGAUGUUUUGAGACUACAAUUCCAAUCAUCCCUAGGGAUCAUGGGAGUUGUAGGCCAAAAACAUCUGGAGGGCUGAGGUUGAGGAAGCC